CAGUGAUAAACUGGAGGAAGGUGGGGAUGACGUCAAGUCAUCAUGGCCCUUACGACCAGGGCUACACACGUGCUACAAUGGCGCAUACAAAGAGAAGCGACCUCGCGAGAGCAAGCGGACCUCAUAAAGUGCGUCGUAGUCCGGAUUGGAGUCUGCAACUCGACUCCAUGAAGUCGGAAUCGCUAGUAAUCGUGGAUCAGAAUGCCACGGUGAAUACGUUCCCGGGCCUUGUACACACCGCCCGUCACACCAUGGGAGUGGGUUGCAAAAGAAGUAGGUAGCUUAACCUUCGGGAGGGCGCUUACCACUUUGUGAUUCAUGACUGGGGUGAAGUCGUAACAAGGUAACCGUAGGGGAACCUGCGGUUGGAU
rnacentral:rRNA from 3 species